UACGUAGGGUCCGAGCGUUGUCCGGAAUUACUGGGCGUAAAGAGCUCGUAGGUGGUUGUCGCGUUGUUCGUGAAAACUCACAGCUUAACUGUGGGCGUGCGGGCGAUACGGGCAGACUUGAGUACUGCAGGGGAGACUGGAAUCCUGGUGUAGCGGUGGAAUGCGCAGAUAUCAGGAGGAACACCGAUGGCGAAGGCAGGUCUCUGGGCCGUACUGACGCUGAGGAGCGAAAGCAUGGGGAGCGAACAGG
rnacentral:rRNA from 1 species